AUCUUUGCGCUUGGUGCAAUGACGCGGCUAGUGAGGUUCUAACUGAGGCUAGUCUAUUGCUGGUUGGAAACUAUUUCCAAACCCCUUCUUAGAUUCAUAGGUGAAUCGACAUUAUCUUAAUGUUGAGAGCAGAGAUAAUUCUUUGUAUUACAAUCAAUCAUGUA
rfam:Morus notabilis contig17531, whole genome shotgun sequence.